GGGCCCAUAGCUCAGCGGUAGAGCAGGUGACUCAUAAUCACUUGGUCGGAGGUUCGAUCCCUUCUGGGCCCA
rnacentral:tRNA from 1 species